rnacentral:lncRNA from 1 species
CGCAACCACGGCUACAAUCUAAUCCGCUCCCGCCCAACGCCUCCUUCACCCUCUUCGCUCCCACCGACGCCUCCCUCUUCGCAUUCGACAUGAUCCAAACGGCUUCGUCCCUCUCUGAUUCUCUGUCUCCGACCUCCGAUCUAUCUCAUCUGGCUCCAUACUCCAUCCAAAACCAGAGGCAUCGUCAGGCCAGUGCUCCCGUCGCAAGCGGCGGCGCCGAUGAGAUCGCGCUCUUGAAGACUGCGUCUAACCGCACAGAUCUCUCUCUGGUGGCCACACCACCGUCUGAAACCGAGUCGAGCAUGACAAUUCCUUCUAACCGGACGGCCAGCGCUGAUCGUUCUCCGGC